rnacentral:rRNA from 1 species
UGGGGGAUAUUGCACAAUGGACGAAAGUCUGAUCUAGCAACACCGCGUGUGCGAAGAAGGCCUUCGGGUUGUAAAGCACUUUUUGGAAGGCUUAGGAAGGAAUGUACUUCCAGAAUAAGUCUCGGCUAACUACGUGCCAGCAGCCGCGGUAACACGUAGGAGGCAAACGUUAUCCGGAUUUACUGGGCGUAAAGCGCGUGUAGGUGGUUCUGUAAGUAGGGCGUGAAAGCUCCUGGCUCAACUGGGAGAGGCCGUUCUAAACUGGAGAGCUAGAGGAUGGUAGAGAGAGGUGGAAUUCCGGGUGUAGCGGUGGAAUGCGCAGAUAUCCGGAGGAACACCAGUUGCGAAAGCGGCCUCCUGUACCAUUCCUGACACUCAGACGCGAAAGCUAGGGUAGCAAACG